rnacentral:rRNA from 1 species
AACGAACGCUGGCGGCAGGCCUAACACAUGCAAGUCGAACGCCGUAGCAAUACGGAGUGGCAGACGGGUGAGUAACACGUGGGAACAUACCCUUCGGUUCGGAAUAACUCAGGGAAACGUUGAGCUAAUACCGGAUACGUCCGCGAGGAGAAAGAUUCAUCGCCGGAGGAUUGCCCGCGUCUGAUUAGCUUGUUGGUGAGGUAACGGCUCACCAAGGCGACGAUCAGUAGCGGUCUGAGAGGAUGAUCAGCCACCAUUGGGAC